UACCAGACUCCUACGGGAGGCAGCAGUGGGGGAUAUUGCACAAUGGGGGAAACCCUGAUGCAGCGACGCCGCGUGAGUGAAGAAGUAUUUCGGUAUGUAAAGCUCUAUCAGCAGGGACGAAAAUGACGGUACCUGAGUAAGAAGCCCCGGCUAACUACGUGCCAGCAGCCGCGGUAAUACGUAGGGGGCAAGCGUUAUCCGGAUUUACUGGGUGUAAAGGGAGCGUAGACGGUUAUGCAAGUCUGGAGUGAAGGGCGGGGGCUCAACCCCCGGACUGCUCUGGAAACUGUAGAACUAGAGUGCGGGAGGGGUAAGUGGAAUUCCUAGUGUAGCGGUGAAAUGCGUAGAUAUUAGGAGGAACACCAGUGGCGAAGGCGGCUUACUGGACUGUAACUGACGUUGAGGCUCGAAAGCGUGGGGAGCAAACAGGAUUAGAUACCCGGGUAGA
rnacentral:rRNA from 1 species